rnacentral:rRNA from 1 species
AUAUCAAUAAGCGGAGGAAAAGAAACCAACAGGGAUUGCCCCAGUAACGGCGAGUGAAGCGGCAACAGCUCAAAUUUGAAAUCUGGCCCCCCGGGUCCGAGUUGUAAUUUGUAGAGGAUGCUUUUGGCAAGGCGCCGCCCGAGUUCCCUGGAACGGGACGCCACAGAGGGUGAGAGCCCCGUCUGGCUGGCCGCCGAGCCUCUGUAAAGCUCCUUCGACGAGUCGAGUAGUUUGGGAAUGCUGCUCAAAAUGGGAGGUAUAUGUCUUCUAAAGCUAAAUAUUGGCCAGAGACCGAUAGCGCACAAGUAGAGUGAUCGAAAGAUGAAAAGCACCUUGAAAAGAGGGUUAAAUAGUACGUGAAAUUGUUGAAAGGGAAGCGCUUGUGACCAGACUUGGGCGCGGCGGAUCAUCCGGGGUUCUCCCCGGUGCACUUCGCCGCGUCCAGGCCAGCAUCAGUUCGUCGCGGGGGAAAAAGGCUUCGGGAACGUGGCUCCCCUGGGAGUGUUAUAGCCCGUUGCACAAUACCCUGCGGUGGACUGAGGACCGCGCAUCUGCAAGGAUGCUGGCGUAAUGGUCACCAGCGA